CCAAACUUGGUCAUUUAGAGGAAGUAAAAGUCGUAACAAGGUUUCCGUAGGUGAACCUGCGGAAGGAUCAUUAAAAAAACUUUUUGCCCGGGACCUCCGCGUCCGGGGCAGAAAAAAAAAACCCACACUAUGUGCACCGUUACCGUUUUCUUUGGCAGGGGCUUGGGGUGUUCUCGCACCUCAACUUCUUCUCUAGCUCCAUCCCAAUGUUAUAAUCCUUUCGUUUGGGACAGCCGGACAUGGGAAGCUGUACCCUGCCAAGUGACCCCAAAUCACUCUUUUUUUUUGUUGUCUAAAACUUUUGCAUUUUUAAAAUAAAACCAAACAUAACUUUCAACAACGGAUCUCUUGGCUCUCGCAUCGAUGAAGAACGCAGC
rnacentral:misc_RNA from 1 species